UCUGAAAAGCCGUUUGAAAAGUCGAAAAAUUCUGAAGCCACGAUUUAAUAUAUUUAAAUUUAAAUCGUGUCUGAAGGCUGAAGCGCUGCAGAACGCCAGUACUCACUACUCAUACUCAGUACUCAGUGGCCACUAGUGACUAGUCGGUAGGUAUACUUGUUUGUGGUCAGUACGCGACAACGCUGCAACGAUGAACAGGCCAAAGCUGACUUUGUUCUUGACUUUCGUAAUCUACUACAUGAUCUCCAUGUUACCUUGGAGUGCGUUCGAAUAUGAUAAUCAGAGUAGAGGUUGUCGGGUUAACCCGGAGUCAACAACUAUGUGUUACCGAACGAUAGCGCAGAGUUAACUGUUAUAUGCCGAACGACGUUGGGUUACUCGAGUUAACUAUAGUUAAGUUUUCAAACGCGCCCCUGUAUUACAACAUAAUAGGUACUGCGACACAUUUCAUUUCAAUACAAUAUAAUACAGAAAGAAACGUACAACAAUUCAUGGAUAAUUAAUGAUGCAGAAGAUUUGUAACAGAGUGAGUAAUAUGUUUUCCAGACUUCAUGAGAUAAUAGGAUUAUCACACACACGAGCCGCAAGGACGCAUAAACACAUCGGUACUGAUCACUUGACUACAACAGUGGUAAAAGACAGGAACGGCUCAAAUAUAUAAAUAUACUUGAGUUAAAACUUUUUAAACUUGAUUAUUGCUGCCCCCUACAUACUAUAGGUAUCAAAUGUUUUUUUUAAUCUAUAAUAGAAAAAUGUUAAAUGCCGCCCUAGGCGUGGACCUAUGUUGCCUACUCCUUGAGCCAGGCCUGGCAAAAGAUCUAUGUAGGAGAGCCGGACAUAGACCCUUAUCUAUAGGCGAAACUAUGGGUCAGGCCUGACCUGAUAGGUACUGGCUGGAUAUCAUAUAGAAUCAUACUGGCUUAUAGUAGUUAGUAGAAUUUAAAAUAAAAAUUAAAAACUUAGAAUUUUUUUUUAUAUCUAUUACUUGGCCUGUCCUAAUAAAAUUGUCUAGUUUUGCCUAUGCCCUUAUCAAACAGGAUUGACAAGAGUUAGAGCAAGCAACUUCAUGCCAGUCUAUAUCAGGAAUUGCAUUUUCGUAGAUUUAGAAAUAUUUUCAAUAAAUACGUUGAAAAUUCUAAACAAGAGAUAAUAGAAAAUUAAUUUUUUUAUAUCAGUCACAGCCCCCAAUUACUAUACCUCAUUUUUAUUAUUAUUAACCUAGUGUAGUGGGUAAAAUGAUCAUAUUCUAACUGUCUUGUAGUAUUUUGGCUGUUUUUGAUAGACACUAAAAAUGUAAGAUGCCCAUUUCUCAAACAACCAAGUUACUAAGAAAACUUUAUAUUAUUAUUAUAUUAUAAUUUUUGAUGAUGGAAUUUUUUUUCACAUUAUAUGUUCUGUUUAACCAUCUUUCAAUAAAUCAGAACUACCUACUUAUUUUAUUGAUUAUUUCUUGAGUGAUUCACUGAAGUCAUAUAGUUUCUGAAAUUUGUUUAAAUAUUUGUCGAUUAUUCUUAAAAUCAAGGCUAUAUUAUAUAUUAUGUAAUUCUUAAUUAUAUUUAAGUUUUUCAUAAUGGUAGAUACAUAUACCUAUACUAUUGAGAUAUUAUGUAUGUAGGUAGUAAAAGUAUUUAGUAUUAUUAUAUUUAAAAAUGACGAUAUAAAGAAAAUUGAAAUUUUAUUAUUAAUUUUAAUGUUUUAAAAAUCUAAAUGUAUAAUAUAAUAUUUAAUAAUGCAGUAAUAUAAAUGUGAUUUUAAGUAUAGAAAACUAAUUAACUUUAUUUAAUAUUGUCAACAAGAUAAGAUAACAAUUUAUUCUAAAAAUAUUUGUAAAUGCAAUAUGCAUAUUACAAUAUGAAUAGUGAGUUUCAUGUCAGUCAAGUGGUGACAUUAGGUAGGUCUAUGGACCUACUUAUAACUGGUUAAUCUACCACGGUCAUGUUUCGUGAGCUAUAGACAAAUUGUAGUAGUUCAUCACAGGUACAGAAAAAAGUGUAAAAUUAACAAUAAUAUACUAUAUACUAUACCUUGUCAGUGUUAUAAUGUAUUUAGAUUACUUAUUUGUAACUAUAUAAUUUAAAAAAAAAAUUUAAUCUGUUAUAUUGUACCUUAUAUACAAAAUAUUAAGUAUAUUAGUAAAAAAUUUUAAGAUAUAAUUAUGACUUGAUUGCGAAAUAAAAAGCAUGCAAUGGAAUCUAAACUGAAUUAAAGAGUACCUAAUUAGAAAGUUCUGAAGAUUAUUGUUUUAGAUAUUUAAGUUAUAAAAUAAUGAUGAUAAAUGACAAUAUACCAAGGGUUGCUUACGUGAAUGUGUUCGUGAGCCACAUGGAUAAAUACAAUUAUGCCAAGAACCAAAAUGUUUAUAAAUACAUGUUAUAUAAUUUGAUAAUUUUUAUAAAUGCUUAUCAAAAAAAUAAAAAUUCAUAACAAUAGUAAGUAAAUUUUGAUUUUAUAAAUAAGACAUGAGCCAUAUCUGACUAUAAUGAAAGCCACAUGCAGCUUAUUAAUUUCUUAUUUAAACAAAUUUAAAACCAAAUUUACAAAAUAAAUACAUAAUGAAAGUAUAUAACAGUGUAGUAUGCCAAUGAAGGUAAUGUUGUUUUAGAUGAUGACAGUUCAGUGGUAUGCAAAUGUGAUGAUAAGUAUAAAUGAUUUGUAAAAGACUAUUUAAAUAAUAAUUAUUAACAAGUAAAUUAUUAAAAUUAAUCAAUAUUUUGUAUUAUAGAUGGAAGUAUAGAACUAUGUUUACUAAUUCUUUGGAUGUCAUAGACUGGGAAGCUGACACUUAACAGUUUACAGAACACACAAUAAUUGUAUAUCAUCAUAUAGGUGAAACGCUACAUGAUACUGAAAAAUGGUUGGAUGAAACUGCACCAGCUAAUGACACCAAUCUCGUGGAUAAUCUUGAAGAAGCGAUAAAUUUUAUAGCACUUUUAGCAUCUAAGCCAGAGGCAGAUUCCAGCGAUUUUGAAGAAAUGCAAGCUAUUUCAGUAGUACAAUUUUUACGUACCAUUAAAACACCUAAUGGUGCAUAUGAGCCUAACAAUAUCCGAGGAGUUUAUUGACAAAAAAGGCGAAGAAUUUCACAAACAAUAAUCUAUUUAUAAAUAUACAUAUACAUAAAAAAAAUUAAUACUGCGCAAUAAAAAUUUAGUAUGUAAACAAUGUUAACAAUGUUUUAAUCAUGACAAAUAAUUAUACAUAAUAUAAUAAUAAUCUUAUUUGUCAUGGUUUUACUAAACAUACAAAUUUUGUUUUUCAAUGUAAUCAGUUUUAACAUUUAAUAUUCUUUAAUGUUAUCUAUGUUAGAAACAUAGAGUAUCUAAGAUACAGUGGUCGCCACUUAUUAUAAUUACGGUUAAUGUUAUCGAAAAGCACGGUCUUAAAAAGACCGUUUUAAAAAGAUUAAGUACGUGCCGGUCGGGGAGUCGGAUCUAUACUUUUAUGUGUAAAUUAUGUCAGUUUUUGUAAUCAAUACGCCACAUAAAUGCAUAAUGUUAUCAGUUCGAGGUCAAAAUAACAACAAUAUGUUUGAGUAUAUUUAACUUUUAAUACACACACAAUUUCCGUCAAAUUGUUGAUUUUAUUGGUUUUAUUAGACAUUUUUAAAAGUGCAUUUCUUAUGGCAAUACUUACACGAGACACGAAUCCGCAGAAAACACAUCCGUGCACUAUGAAAAACUAUUAAAUGUUUUUUUUUUUUGUAUGUAUUAAAUUUGAGGCAACAUUAAAGUUAGAAGACAUUUAGUAAUGCCUAUAAAGUAUUCAUGAAGUAUAAUUUGGAUAAAUUCUGAAUUACAUGAAAAAUAAAUAAAUUAAAUAAUUUAAUAAAUUGUUAUGGAUUCAUCCCAAGUCACUAAAUCAUAUAUUUAAGUGACCGUCAAAUCAUUAUGGAUUUAUUAAAUGCUAAGUGAUUUUUCAAGCAAUCUGUAAUGUGUUUUGGAUUUGAUUUUUUUUUAAUUUGAAUAAACAAAUAGUCCAUAAAACUGUACAAUAUAUAUUGUAUAUUAUUUAUAAUAACAACUUUAUAAUGUUUAUUAAUUAUUUAUGGAAACUAGUGAUUCAUUAAAACAUUAACUAAAAUCCUGAAGAUUAUUUGUAAGUACCUAAUAAAAAUAAUAUUAAAGUAUAAUAUUUAUUAAUUAAUAAAGAUAUAAUAUCUAUAGCUACUGCUAAAUCACAAGAUCUCAAAGAUGUUUAUUUAUACUAGGUAAAAUUUAGAAUACAUUUAUGGAAUAAUUAAUAUUAUACAUGAGUACAAGUAUUGUUAUGUUUUAUUUCAAAUUAUUUUUAAUAUAUUAUUAUUUAUUAAUAAUUUAUCUAUGAAAGCUGUAUAUUCUUAACUAAGUUUUGUUAAAAACAUUUAAUUUACAAGAAUUGAUUUUUUUUUUUAUUUUUUUUUUUUAUUAUCUUGUUAUAAUAUUAAUAAGUUAAUCAACGUUUAAUCAUAGGUACCUACUACCUACUACAAUUCAGUAUACCAGUAUGCUAAUCAUAUCAAGUCUUGAAAUUAUUACUUAUUGUAUAUAUUCUUUAAUAAUAUAUUAAAAUUUCACAUAUUAAGCCUAUAUUAUUAAAACUAUUAAAUGUAAUUGUUAUGAUUCUUUGUUUUAUAAA